CUAUAAUGAAUCUAUCAAGUAUUUUCAGCGAACGUUCCCUUUUGUCUCCUGACUUUCGACUUUCCCACGCUUGAUCACCCACGUCGAAUGUUUUAACAACGUACGUGGCGGUUCGUUGAUUCAAUGCGUUAAUCCAUUUGAAUUCCGCUCCUAAUUUGCAUAUAAAUAUACACUACAUGCGGUAGUGUUUAAGCUAUUCCGCGUUGUGGCGCUACAUGCCAUGAAGCUAAGUUCACGUGAUAGCGUAACAAUAGCAUCACAAUAGAUUUUCAAAAACAGGUUUUUGACAGAUAGGCAAAUUUAGCUGUGUUAAACCAGGUGUGGUACACCAAAAAAAACACACCCAAAUAUAGCUGAGAAAAUGUUUCAUUUAGUGAGUUCCUUUGAACCAAUAAUUAUGAAAAGAAACAAAUUAUACGAACAAAUAACCUCUUGGAAAGUUAGCAUCGAUGGUGGUGGACAAGCCAAUCAGAGCCCCCAAGCUCUACUCUUGUGACCAUGAAGUCCGAUUUAAUUCGGGCCCCCAGGGUUUGGCGGCGCCAGUGUCACUCUUUUACUUACUAUUAAGUUCAUAUUCUGUGUAAGUUUAUUCUAUGAUGUAUGCACCCGGCAAAAUUUGAACUCCACCUCACACCAUAUAUCCAUAUUUGGUCACUGAAACAUACGAACGUUUUCAAUUGUUUCGAAGCUAACCGCACGAUCGAACGAGAUCAAUAAUUCAACGAUUGGAACGAUUGGAUGGAAUUCAACGAUUUUACUAAAGGCAUGGACGAUAAAAAACGCACCUACUGCAUCUGUCAAGCCACAGGAGGAAACUGGGAUAGAAAUUGAAGAAGAAGAAGAACAUCAACCCGUGGUCACCAUUGGAUGCCAGGACAAUGUGGGACUUCAGGACAGCGUGGGACUGAAGGGCUUCAUUGAUCCUGAUACCAGUAGAGACUCCGGCGCCUAUAAUGUGCCUCCUGGUUCAUCCAGGGUUAGUGUACUAAAUUAAAUCGGGCUUCAUGGUCACAAGAGUAGAGCUUGGGGGCCCUGAUUGGCUUGUCCACCACCAUCGAUGCUAACUUUCCAAGAGGUUAUUUGUUCGUAUAAUUUGUUUCUUUUCAUAAUUAUUGGUUCAAAGGAACUCACUAUUACCUUACAAUAAUAUUAUCUUCUAUUGCAUUCCUUUUUUUAGUUAUGAUAGGUAUUCAGUAUUAUGUGUGUCAUUUAAAAGGUGCUUCUAUUAAUUCUUCGUUACAAUUACAGAUUGUGCUGUCCAAAGGGGUUGAUUCCAAGCAGCCAGCAGGAAAUGCUAUAAAGGAAGAGUGUACACUGUCCGACAAGACAACACUAUAAUAAAGAAAAUAAAAUGAAAUGGAGUGUAGCAAAACUACACACGAGGGAUAAGGAAGAGUUCUGUGGAAAUUCGCAGGUAUAAAUAAAAACUCUUAUUUAUGCGCUUACGUAUGCAUCUACUCUUUAUGAAUACUCUUUCGCUUCUGGGAUAGCGCGUCCUUUUUAAGCAUCGCAGGGGCGCGUCUAACGUAAGGUUUACCAACUACUAUGUACAAAGAAUUAAACUAGUGACUAAAAAUACUUAACCUAACUAAAACUAGAUGGCGCUUGCUAUUUACACUAUGUGCGACCUUGGUCGCUACAGGAGACCGCCACAAUGGCGAUACCUGGAUCAGGUCUCAAUAAGAAGUGUAUGCAAAAUUAAUAAUUCUCGAGUGUAAAACACAAUUAGUGAGUAAAGAGUGCGCGAGGAAGGAGAACAAGAUCCACGGACAAUAAAGGGUUAAUAGUUUGAAGAAAUACUGGGAAGGAGCAAGUUCAUGAAGUGUUAGCAAUCACAUAUAACCUCCCUGGCGGGACCAUGCCUUGCCGCCGGAGAGUAUAAAAAUCCAACCAAGAAGGGAAAAUGGAAGAGAGGCAACCCCAGGCGAGGAAAAAAAUUGUGGCGGUGAAUGUCCCUACGGAGGAUAUUCUAGGAAUUUCACUCAAAGCAGAAAAUAAAAAAAUAGAGGACCAUGUGAAGAGGCCUGAACUCAGGCCCAUCACAAUGAAACUAAGAUUAGCCAAAAAUCGCAAGCGCCUACUGGCGUUAACAUCAGAAUCAACAAGCGAAGAAGAAACGACGGCCAGAAGUAACUGUGGCACGAGUGAAGAAAUAGUAAAUUACGGAAAAGAUGGAUUCGGCGCGAAUAAGGAUGCAAGGAGUUUCAAUCUGAUUGGUCCAUCCCUCUCGGAGUAAGAAGCAAGACAAAAUGUUUCUGUUAAAAAAAAAAAAAAAACGGGUAAAAAAUGACAAAUCACAAAAUGUUUCUUUUACGCGACCAACUGGAAGAAAUAUUCGACAAGAUGCAAGAGGUUUCACUCCGAUUCAUCAAGCCAUCUCGACGUAAUCGGCAAGCAUACCUAAAAAUCAAGGUUCUUUGGUAAAAAUACGGGUCAAAAAUGACAAAUCGCAAAAGUCUUGACAGCAGGAUCCUCGGGGGAACAUGCUCUACAAGAUGCAACAGGAUUCAUUUCGAUUGGUCAAGCCAUCUCGGCGUAAACGGUGAACAAACAUUUAAAAAAAAAAAAAGUAUACAUGUCGAAUUGAGUAACCUCCUCCUUUUCGAAGUCGGUUAAAAAGCGAUAUCAACGGAACCUGACUCAUUGAACAAAGAAGUUGGGCUAAUAGAGAUACAAUAUGUAGGAAACAAUUACAUAAAUAUUUUCAGAUUUAUUCGACCAAAGAUCCAGUUAGUGGAAUCUAUAAAAAUGAUAAAUAGAAGGACCGCUGAAAUCCGGUCCAACACACAUUAGAGGCGGCAGAGAGAUAUUUGAAACAUUUGAAGACAUGGACAAAAAAAGAUACAGUGUAAGAAUCCCACGCCGUACAGAAGAAAGAUGGGGACUGGUACAUGAAUGGGAUUAUUCACCUAAGGAACUUUUAGAAGAAAUAGUCCCCGGCCAAAAUGUGAAAGAGGUAGAAAGGCUGAAAAAGAGGGUAAAAACAGAUAAAGGCUUCGAAUACAGAAAUUCCAACUUGAUCCUUGUAAAAUUCAACGGAGGUAGCCUACCAACCAAGAUUCUCAUUUUUGAUGGUUACGUUAAUCUAACAAUAAGACCUUUUGUGAAGAAUAUCAAGCAGUGCUAUGGUUGCUUGAGAUUUGAUCAUGUGAAAAAAUACUGUAAGAGAGGACGGAGAAAAUGUUUUAGAUGCGGUAACGACUACCAUGAAGAAUGCACCAAACCUGAGAGGUGUGUAAACUGUGAAGAAGACCAUGGUUCAUUGGAUAGAAAAUGUAUUUAUGCACAAUUGGAGAUAGAUAUUACUAAGCUUAUGGCCUAUAAAAAUAUCUCGUUAGUGAAGCAAGGGAGAUAGCUAAAUUAGAACUGGGUAUCACAGAAAGGAGAAGACCCAACCCCCCCCCCCCCCAGACUUCAACAACAGGCUAAACGACAAUGACUUUCCUAAACUACAACAUAUUAAAACCCAAGUAAAAAAUAUUGAGAAAUGGGAGAGCAGACCCUGCCCAAUUAGAACCUCGUAUUGGGACAGCGGAGCAGAAAUAAAACACAAGCAGAUGAAACUAAAAAAUAGAUACGAAGUCCUUAAAGAAGUAGGUCCAACAGAGACCACAGGUAUCAAACAAAGGAUUAAAAUAAACCAAUUGACGGGAGAUGAAAGAAAUGGCAAAAGUGAAAUAGCAUAUAAACUUUUAAAUAAGUCCAAGUUUAACAAAAACAGAAAUUUUGAUAAUAACGAUAAAGAUUGGGAGGAAUUGCUAGAUUGGAUAAAAAUAAAUAAUAGAAAGAACUUUAUAAUUGACCAACUUAACUCCAAAAGGAAAUUCCAAAAACCAUACAAUAAAACAAUAAGAGAAGGAAACAAGGACAAAAGAACCACGUAUAUCAAACAAAAUUACAAUCACAGCGAAUCUCCCAAACAGUUUGAAGCAAGAGCUAACUCGCACAACAUCAACCAUGAAACACAGGAAGAACAUAAUUACAUGAGAAAAAAUCAGGAGGAGCCAAAGAGGUAUCAAAGAAAUACGUACUCUCAGAGCUUCCCAAUAUCAAGCCGCCAUAUGAGGGAGAGGGAUAACAAAGAUCUUUGUAUCCCACAAAGGAAGUCCUUUUUCAAUGAUUCUCAAUUAAAAGAAGAUUUCAAACACACCCCACCAAUACGAGUUGCAACCGAAACACCCAAGCUCGAUGAGGCCGGGGAAGGUAACGAAAAUAUGGAAACAGAACUAAAAAUAGGAAGACAAGAAGAAGUUACAACGCACGGUAAUGGCCAAACGAGGGAAAAUGAAAUAUCGGUAACAGAGGAGUACUCAGUUACUCAGAACAUUAUCGAGGAAUCCGAUUCAGAGACAUUUAAAUCUACGGACUCCUUAAUAAAUAUAGAUUCAGUCUAGGACUUCCCUCCAAAAAACAAUAAGGAGUAAACUAAAAGGAGAUGAGACCAAACAGAAGACUGUAAUGAAAUAGCACAGGGAACACAAAACGUGUCGUAUUUUUUAAAAAUCGAGACCUGGAACGCACAUUCCGUGAGCAAUAAAACCACGGAGCUACAGUGAAUUAUACGCGAAUACGAUGUCCUAUGCGUAUGCGAGACGUGGAUGAAAGCUUACAACGGGAAAGAUUUAAAAAACUACAAAGUCUUUCACAACAAAACAGAGAACACGAACAAUAGUAAAUUAUCAGGACAAUAUAUAGCAGCAGGGAAAGGUUUACUUAUAGUCUAUAAGAAAUUAGAAAUUAGAAAUUAGAAUCAUAGAAGAAAAGUAUGUAGAAAAAAAAUACGAAUUUAUUAAUUUCACGAUUUCCGACGACCGCGGUCAGGAGAUAAGCGAUAUCAGACUAGUAUACAGAUCACCGCAUAAACAUUUAAAUAUACAGGGUUGGAGGAAUCUUUUUUGUGAUCGAUAUUUGAGAAACAUAAGAAGGGAGUGAAUGAGAUCGAAGCGAGAAAGUAUGUUCGGAUAUAAAGCAACCUGUAAAAAAAAAAAUGUUAACAAAAAUGUGAUGUAAUCAACUAGAGAAAGUAUUAGUGAAAUAGUUUUGAUAUCUGUAUAAACUGAUCACUUUAAUAAAAGAACUGAACUGAACUGAUGGCGCCACCGGCGCGGAAUUUAAAUUUUGGGGAGUUGCGUUGAGAACCGUGAAGUGGAUGGUAAGCGCCAACGAAGGUCCUGACAAAUUGAGAAAUUAACGCGGAAAUAAGCAAAGAAAAAUUCAAGGAAGAACGUCAUAAGGAAGCUAAAGAGGAGAAGAAGAGAUAAGGAGACGGGGGGUGCCGAAAGACGCUGUCUAGUACCGUAAAAAACUGUAAUUCAGGGAACUAGAAGUGAAAAAAUAUUGUAGAAGGGCUAUGGAUAAUGAAAUGAAGAAGCAAACAGCGACGCCUAGCGGGCAACCGCGAUUGGUAGAUGUAAAGGUACUCGGUUCGCGAUCCGAAUUGGGAAGCAUGCAAAAUUGCAGUUUUUCGACUUCUCACGCCUUUUUCGGAAAAACCCGGGCGUUAGGUAUCAAGAGAUACCGGCGUGAGUAGCCGAACUUCGCGAAGUCUACCGCGGCUAGCUACCUGAAUCGCGGAGAGAGGCGUGGAUCGUCGGUAAGGAAAGGAAGCCUAGGAAAGCCAUCUCCACGGCAAGACGGGGCGAAUUAAAACAGCAUUCGUUAACUCUUUGGGGCACGGUGGGAUUAAAAGUGUCCCACCUUUUUGAUGGACCGUAAUGCAUGGUGGGACAUUUUUAAUCUCACCUCGAAAGUUUGCAAUAGCUGCAUGUGUAUUGAUUUAUAUUUCGUCUUAUUUACGUAAAGCAGUUGAUAAUAUAUUCAUCUAAUGUUACAAAUGUAUGCACUUAUGUUGGCAACUUUGAACAUGCUAAUACCGGUUCAACAAUUGUUGUAAGCGGAAGGUUUAUUGUGAUAAUAUUUCUUUCCUGGUUUUAUGUGAAAAAUCGUAGAGGUAAGUUAAUUGAUAUAAAAAUUAGUUCUAUAUAAACA